GUGUACCUCUACCUUGCUUUGUUUGUCAGUCUCUCACCCUGUGUCUACUUCUGUCCCUCUGUUUCUCAUUGUUUGUUUCUCCCCCUCUCUAUCUACUUCUCUCUCUCUUUCCCUCUGUUACUCAUUCUGUGUCUCUCUUCCCCCAGUUCAAGGGACAAUAAAUGAAAAAUUCACACAUGCCUGUCAAGGCCAUAGCAGAGGCAAGUUCUCGUUCCAGGUUGCAUCAGAAACAGAAAGCAGAGCUCCAGGCAGAAGAGAAGCCAGUUGGGAGGAACAAUGGAGGACAACUGGGAAGUCCAUUACCAGUCAUAACAAAUUAUUCAACUUGAGCCAAGUCAGUACUCUAAGCCUGCAAGGAACCAGCAGAGCAACUGAACACUCCAUCCUCUGGCUGGUGAUUCUUCCCCCGUUGGCUCACUUAUCCUUUGAAAGGCACUAGGAUGAAGAUUCUCCAUCUCCUGGCUCAGAGGAACACGAACAUUCACCCUGUUUGCUAGGGGAAACUCUUCAGGGGUCUCUUUGCAGUAUAAUCACACACAGUAUUGCCUUCACCAAGACAAAAUAUGUUCAAAUCAUUGGUCUAAAGGAGAUGUAGCCAUAUUUUCCCCACUGUCAUGGAUUUUAGGAAUUAUGAAAGAAUGUAAGAGACCUUGGAUUUUUUUUUUUUUUUUUUUUUUUAAAGAUUUCUUAAACUGAAUAAUUCUACUUACUGAAAUGUUCACUCACUGGUGACAGGUCCUUCUAUACGGAGACACUAAUUCAGUCCUGAUUAAAAGAAGGCAAAGUACCAAUCUUUUUAGAAUGUAAAGGAAAGUGAGACUUGCCUUAACUGAUUUACCAAAAUAGUGGGUUAACAAGAAGGAUGUUUUUAAAUUUGGAGUUUCUGGUUAUGAUGGGAUGCAAAGAAAGGAUAUAAACAGGAAUGGGAGUUCCUGUUCAGUUUGUGAUGCAUCACUCACCACUCUUUUGCCCCAAUUUAACUGAUGCAGUUACUGUAUUACCAUGGUAGCAUUGUCUGAAAUGCUUCCAGUUCCACGCGCAGGGCCAGUUACGCAGAACUGCAGGGCCUCAAUGCAUGGACCAGACGAUGGUAUAGGGAGGAGGGGUUUAGAUUUAUUAGGAACUAGGGAACCCUUUGGAAAACAGGGAGCUUGUACAGGAAGUAUGGGCUCCACCUAAACCAACAUGAAACCA